rnacentral:rRNA from 1 species
GCCCAAGAGAUCGGGAUAACACCUGGAAACAGAUGCUAAUACCGGAUAACAACAGAUGAUGCCUAUCAACUGUUUAAAAGAUGGUUCUGCUAUCACUCUUGGAUGGACCUGCGGUGCAUUAGCUAGUUGGUAGGGUAACGGCAUACCAAGGCGAUGAUGCAUAGCCGAGUUGAGAGACUGAUCGGCCACAUUGGGACUGAGACACGGCCCAAACUCCUACGGGAGGCAGCAGGC